rnacentral:rRNA from 1 species
ACUUCCUACGGGGCGCAGCAGUGGGGAAUAUUGGGCAAUGGGCGCAAGCCUGACCCAGCAACGCCGCGUGAAGGAAGAAGGCUUUCGGGUCGUAAAGCUCUGUUGCGGGGGAAAAAAGGCAGCAUCAGGAAAUGGGUGCUGACUGAUGGUGCCCCGCCAGAAAGUCACGGCUAACUACGUGCCAGCAGCCGCGGUAAUACGUAGGUGGCGAGCGUUAUCCGGAAUGAUUGGGCGUAAAGGGUGCGCAGGCGGUCCUGCAAGUCUGGAGUGAAACGCAUGAGCUCAACUCAUGCAUGGCUUUGGAA